rnacentral:ncRNA from 1 species
CCCGCUGAACUUAAGCAUAUCAAUAAGCGGAGGAAAAGAAACUAACAAGGAUUCCCCUAGUAACUGCGAGUGAAGCGGGAAAAGCUCAAAUUUAAAAUCUGGCAGUCUUUGGCUGUCCGAGUUGUAAUCUAGAGAAGUAUUAUCCGCGCUGGACCGUGUACAAGUCUCCUGGAAUGGAGCGUCAUAGAGGGUGAGAAUCCCGUCUUUGACACGGACUGCCAGGGCUUUGUGAUAUGCUCUCGAAGAGUCGAGUUGUUUGGGAAUGCAGCUCAAAAUGGGUGGUAAAUUCCAUCUAAAGCUAAAUAUUGGCGAGAGACCGAUAGCGAACAAGUACCGUGAGGGAAAGAUGAAAAGAACUUUGGAAAGAGAGUUAAACAGUACGUGAAAUUGCUGAAAGGGAAACGCUUGAAGUCAGUCGCGUUGGCCAGGGAUCAACCUUGCUUUUUUGCUUGGCUUACUUUCUGGUUGAUGGGUCAGCAUCAAUUUUGACUGGUGGAAAAAGUUCAAAGGAAUGUGGCAUCUUCGGAUGUGUUAUAGCCUUUGUUCACAUACAUUGGUUGGGAUUGAGGAACUCAGCACGCCGCAAGGCCGGGUUUUUAACCACGUACGUGCUUAGGAUGCUGGCAUAAUGGCUUUAAUCGACCCGUCUUGAAACACGG